ACCUGGUUGAUCCUGCCAGUAGUCAUAUGCUUGUCUCAAAGACUAAGCCAUGCAUGUCUAAGUAUAAGUAUUAUACAGCGAAACUGCGAAUGGCUCAUUAAAACAGUUAUAGUUUAUUUGAUAAUCGAAUUUACAUGGAUAACCGUGGUAAUUCUAGAGCUAAUACAUGCUGGUGUGCCCGACUUUUGUGGAAGGGCGGUAUUUAUUAGAUAACAAGCCAAUAUUCCUCUGGUCUAUUGUGGUGACUCAUAAUAACUGAUCGAAUCGCAAGGCCUAUGGCCGCGGUGAGUCAUUCAAGUUUCUGCCCCAUCAGCUUUCGAUGGUAGUGUAUUGGACUACCAUGGCGUUUACGGGUAACGGAGGAUUAGGGUUCGAUUCCGGAGAGGGAGCCUGAGAAACGGCUACCACAUCUAAGGAAGGCAGCAGGCGCGUAAAUUACCCAAUCCUGACUCAGGGAGGUAGUGACAAGAAAUAACGGACCGGGGCCUUACGGCUUCGGGAUUGCAAUGAGCCGAAUUUACACCCCUUAGCGAAGAUCGAUUGGAGGGCAAGUCUGGUGCCAGCAGCCGCGGUAAUUCCAGCUCCAAUAGCGUAUAUUAAAGUUGUUGCAGUUAAAAAGCUCGUAGUUGGAUUUCUGGGAGGGUGCCGCCGUCCGGCGUGUCCGUGUGCAGUGGCGCCCUUCCAUCCUUCUGUUAGCGUCUCUUGGCAUUCAUUUGCUGGUGGCGGGCUCAGAUAUUUUACCUUGAGAAAAUUAGAGUGUUUCAGGCAGGCUAGGCCGGAAUACAUUAGCAUGGAAUAAU
rnacentral:rRNA from 1 species